AAGACAGGGCACAGACGUACAGGCAGCGAGGGACAAAUGGUUCCUGCCUGGGAGGGGGCUGGAGAGUGGCAGCAGUAUCCUGGAACAUCAAACAUGUUUGUAUACACAGUCGGGGAGCAUCACUUCAUGCUGACUUUGCUGGUUGCAAAAAUAAAUUCGGAGGCCCAUCAGUCAGAGAGAUAGCUUGUGAUGGAUUGAGCCCAGAGGUGUGUGAGCUGCCAUCCAGGGCUCAUCUGGCCCGUGACGGCCCUGAGGCGGUGGCUGUCACCAGCAGAGCACACUUCCUGCUCUUGGCUGUGGUUUCCGUUGGGCCGAGGUCAGCUAAUGAGGAUGUUAUCAGAUCGGAGUCUUCAGCCAGACACAGGCCUAGCCGCCGGCGCAUCUGAUUUGACCUUUUUUUCCACCUGUUCUCAAGAUGAACGACCAAGAGCCGCGCACAAUAUAGUCACAGGAGGUCAUGGAUAUUGUAUAUUAUUUCCAGGCAGUGAAUAACUGCAAAGGUGAAUGAGGCGAGGGAAUGUUAUUUAUGUGACACAAUUCAAUUUCAAAAGUAUAUGGGCUUUAGUUGACUGAUGGCUGAAUUUUCUAUGGUCGACAUCACCAGAUCCAAUUGACCGUUUGAAAAGGAGAACUCUGCUAUCGUUAUAUCAUUAUUUUUUUAUAUGCCAUGUAGAUUUUGGAUAGAAUUUAACCUGAGUUUGGCACUAGAGGCAAAGUUAAAGGAUCACCAAGGUGACUGCAAUUCAUCCAGAGGGGAACAUGAAUGCGUUCACCAGUUUCCAUGAAAGUCCAUUCGAUAGUUGUGGGGAAAUUUCACUGAAACCAUAAAUGUCAGCCCGCUGGUGUCGAUGGAGGAUUUGUCAGGCAUUUGCUCGCUAAAGUUGCAACAGAUGAGGACUUACAGCAACAACGGAAAUCCAUCUGUUUUACCUUCGGUCCUGAGACAACAGUAAACAUCACGGUGAGAUUCAGAUUAUGAGGAGCAUUUCUUCUACUGGCUGCAGAUCAAACCCCUCUGCAGUAAAAUAUAAACAUCCAUCGACAGCUUUACAGCAAGAAAAACCCUCGCACCAGAAAGACCUGAGAGGAAAUUGACUUUGUUUACGGUUUUGUACUAAUACAUUGAUAUAAUUAUCUCCACCGGAAGAGAGGCGUCUAGAAGCUGGAACCAAUUUUAUCUCUCAAUUGUCAUCUCCAAAACAGAGCAAUUCUGUCAUUUUGAAAGCCUCAUUCGGGGCCAUUAGUAUGCACAGUGAGGUGCACUUCAUCUUUCCCCACAGAGACCAAAUUAACUUCAAGCACUGCCAUUUCAGUGGUGUUGUUCAAUGGUUGACUCUGGGGGUAGGUGUUGUUUUUCUGCAGUUGGUUGCACACUCGGCUAGAGACGGUGGGGCUGUACACAUCACAUGACAUGUCAUCUACGUAUCUAUUACCCUAUCCAGUCAGUUGUUUAGGCAGAAAGCUGAAAGCUGAAUGUCUUCGGUGACGGCUAAUUUGCCUGCGUGGGAGUGAGAGGGCGCUGGGAGUGAUAAUUUCCCCCCUCCGAAAAAAUAUCAACAUAUCUGAUUUCGGGUGGGAGGGAGAGUGAUUUUCCAGAGUGAAUUUUCUUCCUUGCUGAGAGUAAGCAAAAGCCCUAUAUCAUCACAUUUUUGCCUUUUCAUUACAUUAUUGAUAAUUACCGAGCUAUUUCAAAAGAUUCAGCUUGUCUGUUGUUCAAAUACUCUGUCUGAAUAAACUAUGUUAAGUUUUAUAAUUUUUUUGUUCAGCCAAAUGUUAAAUAUUGCUCCUCCAAUACAAUGUCCAUCAGUGAUUCUUUUAUUGAACAGUUCCAAAGUUUUGGAUAUUUCAUGUCACUUGUCUUUUGUUUUGAAAUGUGUAUACAACGAUGGAUUUAAAAAGAUUUUACAAAUUAAAGCUUUGGUAGGAAGCGAGAUGCAAAGAUUAGCUGAGUGUGUGUGCAAACCAUAGGUGCAAUCAGAACAUACACUGUAAAUGGAAAGGACACGGAGCCACGUCAAAUUAUCUCUACUAUUUCUAUACACAAUGAACAUCCGUGAGUGUGUGACAAACUCACGCUUCACAUAGAUUAUAAUAAUAUCAUCAAUGUAAUAUUAUCACAGCAGCCGUCUACCAGAGCCCAUCCCUGCGCCCAGAGGUAAUAAAGAGGUGCGCUGCAACAUUAUUGUCCAUGUUUGAACUACACCGUGUCCCUUGACAGUCUGAGUGGCCGUGGCAUUUAUCAACACCUCACACAAAGCCCGGUGGCGCUGUCGCCUCAGGUGGGAGUAACUGGCAAAAUGAAAAAAAACGAAAGCCUCCAAGACAAUCUGACAGAGAGAACGAACCGAAGGUGGCCGACAGGAAACAUCACCAUGAAGG